rnacentral:lncRNA from 1 species
UGGACCAGGCGAUUUGCCAGCUCAAUUAAUGAGCUCUGCAUCCAACGCUCCACAUUUUUUUGUUAUUUUUAAAUUCUGAUUAUAAUUUUCUUUUAUUUCUUUUAAUUCCAUUUCAUUUUAAACAUUCAUAUCUCCUUCAUUAUUGGUCCAAAAAAUGUGAGACCAAUUGCAUUUUUCUUCUUUUAAUUUCUAGUUUUUAAAAAUGAUUUU